UAUCAUGAGUGCGGAAACUUGUAGCGGUGU
rnacentral:piRNA from 1 species